rnacentral:rRNA from 1 species
AUGGAGCUCCGCCUCCGCCUCCACCUCCACCCGCACGCGCGGCCCCCUUCCGCCCCGACGCCGCCUCCAUGCCCCGCGGCCGUGCUGCUUCCCGCGUCCCGCCGCGGCCGCCGCCUGCGGAUUGGUGGGAGCUGCGGGGUUGCUCCGCGGCGGAGCACGAGGCGUUCGCAUUCAGCCAUCUGCGCUGCUGAACCGGGCGGCGCGCAGGGCGGGGAGGCUGUCAAGGAGAGGAGCGUCUCGGUGGUCCUCUUGUCCGGAGGGCAAGGAAAGAGAAUGGGGGCCAAUAUGCCUAAGCAGUAUCUACCAUUACUGGGAGUACCAAUUGCACUGCACAGUUUAAAGACAUUCUGUGGAAUGAAGGAAGUGAAAGAAGUCGUGGUGGUGUGUGAUCCAUCCUACAAAAAUUUAUUUGAAGGUUCUGUUGAAAACUUGCAAAUACCUAUUAAAUUUACAACCCCGGGAAAAGAGAGACAAGACUCUGUUUUUAAUGGACUUCAGGAAAUUGAUGGAGAUUCAGAACUUGUUUGUGUCCAUGAUUCUGCAAGACCCUUGGUAUCCUCUGAAGAUGUAAAAAAGGUCUUAGAAGAUGCUGCGGUGCAUGGAGCAGCUGUUCUUGGUGUGCCUGUCAAAGCUACUAUAAAGGAGGCCAACAGCGAUUCUUUCGUCGUAAAAACCCUCGAUAGGAAAACCCUCUGGGAGAUGCAAACUCCACAGGUGAUGAAGCCUAAUUUGCUCAAAGAUGGUUUCGAGCUUGUUAAGAGGGAUGGCCUUGAGGUCACUGAUGAUGUUUCCAUCGUAGAAUGCUUGAAACAUCCUGUUUAUAUCACUGAGGGCUCUUAUACAAACAUCAAGGUGACUACUCCUGAUGACAUGCUCUUAGCUGAGCGUUUGAUGAACGAUAAAUAG